GUCCCCACAUUUAAUCAUCUUCUUCUGCCUCAUAUAGAUAUAAACAAAGUUGUACGUAUACACACGCAUUCUGUACUCCAGAAUUUUGGGGUUUUGGAAUUUUCUGUAGUGAAACAGAUCUCUCUCUCUCUCUCUACCUGUAGUAGUAUUCCAUUUUUUCUGUCUAUUUGAAUAUGGGAAAUAACGGGGAUGCUCCGGUGGAGCCGAUGAAGCUGACUUCAUUCAGGAGCCGGAGGAAAGCACCAGCCAUUUCCGGUGAACCUGAUGACUUUAUCAACCUCUUGCAUGGCUCUGAUCCCAUCCGAAUUGAGCUCACUCGUCUUGAGAAUCAACUCCGAGAUAAAGAUAGAGAACUGGGGGAGGCAUAUGGAGAAAUCAAAUCUUUGAAGUACUCUGAACGCGUUAAAGAAAAGGCAGUUGAGGAGCUAAAUGAUGAGCUAAAGAAAGUAGAUGAAAAGCUGAAAAAAACAGAAGCUCUUCUUGAAAACAAGAAUCUUGAGAUUAAGAAAAUAAAUGAUGAGAAAAAGUCAGUGCUGGCUGCACAAUUUGCUGCUGAAGCUACUCUUCGGAGAGUUCAUGCUGCACAGAAAGAUGAUGAGAUGCCGCCCAUUGAGGCAAUCAUCACACCCCUCGAAGCAGAGUUAAAACUUUCCAGAUUAGAGAUGGCAAAGUUGCAGGAUGACAAUAAAGCACUAGACAGACUUACAAAAUCUAAAGAAGCCGCUCUACUGGAGGCAGAACGAACUGUUCAAAUGGCAUUGGCAAAGGCUGCUUUGGUUGAUGACCUGCAAAAUAAAAAUCAAGAUCUAAUGAAACAGAUAGAAAUAUGCCAGGAAGAAAACAAAAUAUUGGACAAAAUGCAUAGACUGAAGGUUGCAGAGGUUGAGAAACUAACACAAACUGUAUGGGAGCUUGAGGAAGCUGUAUUGGCUGGUGGAGCUGCAGCAAAUGCUGUACGAGAAUACCAGAGAAAAGUGCAAGAACUGAAUGAGGAGAAAAGAAUCCUAGAUCGUGAGCUAGCCCGUGCAAAGAUUUCUGCAAACAGAGUAGCUGUUGUUGUUGCCAAUGACUGGAAAGAUGCCACUGACAAAGUAAUGCCUGUAAAACAAUGGCUUGAAGAAAGAAAAUAUUACCAGGGAGAAAUGCAACAGCUUAAAGAUAAACUGGCAAUUGCAGAGCGUGCUGCAAAAGCAGAAGCACAGUUAAAGGAAAAGUAUCAAUUACGAUUUAAAGUUUUGGAAGAAAGGUUUAAGGUGCCUUCAAAUGUUACAUCUCGCACUGCAGCUGAAGGAAGAAGCAUAAGCAAUGUGCGCUCAAGGCGUAUGUCCCUUGGAGGAGUUGAAAACUUGUCUAGACCCUCCAAUGGUUCUUUAUUACGAAAAACAAGUUUUCAAUCUGGAUCAUCCCAGUCAAAUGAUGCUAGCUCAUUGUUAAAAAAAGCAAAGAACUUAUCGGGCGCAUUUGAUGGCGGCAGCAGAUCAGAGGGUAAGGAGAAGCCAGUCCAGCUUACGGAUCAGAAAGAUAAUGGACAUAGUGGUACUAGCAGAGAGUCCCAUAGCAAUGGAAUAGUAACUGCACAUGAGAAUGCAGAUUUGAAUGCUGCUGAGAAAAUGAAGUUGGAAAAUAAAGAUUAUGUUUCUGGAGCAGUGUACGAUAUGCUUCAAAAAGAGGUUAUAGUUCUACGCAAAGCUUGCAAUGAGAAAGAUCAUAGCCUGAAGGACAAAGAUGAUGCCAUUGAGAUGUUGGCAAAGAAGGUUGAAACGUUAAACAAGGCAAUGGCAAUUGAGGCCAAAAGAAUGCGCAGGGAAGUUGCAGCAAUGGAAAAGGAGGUUGCUACAAUCCGUAAUGGCAAGGAGUAUGAUCAAAGGCUAAAGUGCAGUUACUCUGCCAAGGAAGCCAUGAAUGGUCAUACACUACCACAAAGGUGAUGCUCUCAAAACCCCCCUCCACUAAUCAAAUUGCUGAAUACAGAAUGCUCAAUAAGGACAACAUUCGCUUACAUGCGUUAAUAUAUCAGUGUGCGCAAAGGGAAGAAACGAUCGGAGCUACAAAAAAUUUACCGAACAAUGAUGAAAGCGGGCAGCAUUUCAUAUCAGAAGGAAUAUUUCUCCCCUCGAAUACUAUCACAACUCAUGUCAGUUUGUAAAGUACUAUAGUUGUUUGGGGGCAUUAGCUUAUUUUAUGUAUAUGUUUGUAACAUAUUUGUAUUAUUAUGAGUAAAAGAAGUGCAUCUGUAUGGAACUAUGGGCAAAGGCAGGGAUUAUAUUUUUAUGCAAGUGGUAAAGAAAUGUUCAUGUCAUCAAUACCGUGCAGAUAGUCCUUAUAAGGUCGAUCCUAUUUCUAUGAAUCUAUGACCUUCGUUAAUGGUAAGCCUAUGAUGAAGUCGAUGGAGGUGAAAGUGUCACACAUGAACAUCCAUAGAAAAUCUCCAAUAUGUCGUGGUUGGGAAGUUUUCAUAUGGGUGGCCGGAAAUUGAAGAAUUACAGAGACUAAUAUUUUGCAAUUUCAAACUUAUUGGGGAUUUUGUUGAUGUUGACGAAUGCAUAUUAUCUCAAGGCCAACGAGGGGCUAUCAUAGCAAAUCCAACCAUUGAUAUGUGAUUCAAAGUUCAAACUUAAUGAGGAAACAACUCAAGUUUGUGGCAUGGAUUUUGUUUUCUAGUUUACUUUGGACAUACUUAGUUGGAGAAUCAUUGUUUGCUCUAGUUUUGAUUGAUGUUUAUCUACAACCUUUGAUAGCGGAGCUAAAACAAUUAUCGUCUAAAGAUGUAGUGACAUAUGAUAUAUCAACUAAGCAAAAUUUUAUUUUGCA